AAAGAAAGAAAAAAAAAAUAAACCUCUCUCUCUCUGCCGAAACUAGCAACCAAAACAGAGCAUUCCUUCUCCAAGCUUGUUCUCUCUCCACAGGCCUUCGAUCGACCCCAGACCACGUUCCACAGCUUCACCUUGAUCUUGCGCAGCUGCAGGAGGCAGCCUUGCGCCGCAGAACGGUCGGAAACGGCGGCGGAAGUCCGGUUAGUUUUAAGCCCGUUUUAGUUCCAAGCUCGAUAACUCGUGCUUCCGGCCACCGAUCCUUGCCAAACUGCAUCCUCGUGCUUCCCUCAACCUCCUGAAGCCCCCAGAAGCAGCCUUGCACGGCGGCGCAUCCCGUAGCAGCAACUACAAGUCAACCCCGCCAAGAACGAGACCUGAACUAUCGAUCCAAAUAUCUUGAGCUACAGGACGUCGUUUUGAGUGAUUCUUGAACCAGUGAGUUCUUCUUGAGUUUCUUAACAACUCUUCAGAAGGAAUCGAAGCCUUAAAUUGACGUUUUGACGUCGAAAUCGAGCCUUGCCGGAUUCUGCAAAAUUCUGGAAUUUUUCCGACCACCGAAGCUUUCGAUCGGUAUAUCUCGAGCUACAGACCAUAUUUUUCUGUGAUUCUUGAACCAGUGAGUUCUUCUUGAGUUUCUCAACAACUCUUCAGAAGGAAUCGAAGCCUUAAAUUGACGUUUUUACGUCGAAUUGAAGCUCGCCGUUUUCUGCAGUUUCUCGCCGGAUUCUGGAAAAAUUCCGGCCACCUUCAACUGUUCUAGGUGAUUGACGGUUUGAGUUGGCGGACGAUUGUGAAUCGUAUUUUGAGCUGUUAAGAAGACGCAGCGGGAUUAGAGCGGGUAAUCCUACAGGACAGGAGAACCAGGACGGUGAUCGUGCGGUUAGAGCAAUGGUUAUAGUUUUACAGCAAUUGUAAUAGUGAGGUGAGUUAAGCUCAUUUGAGCCUUACAAUUUGAUUUGGUGGGAGUGUGCUGUAAUAAAUAAC